UACGGAGGAUCCGAGCGUUACCCGGAUUUAUUGGGUUUAAAGGGAGCGUAGGUGGAUUGUUAAGUCAGUUGUGAAAGUUUGCGGCUCAACCGUAAAAUUGCAGUUGAAACUGGCAGUCUUGAGUACAGUAGAGGUGGGCGGAAUUCGUGGUGUAGCGGUGAAAUGCUUAGAUAUCACGAAGAACUCCGAUUGCGAAGGCAGCUCACUGGACUGCAACUGACACUGAGGCUCGAAAGUGUGGGUAUCAAACAGG
rnacentral:rRNA from 1 species